GACGAACGCUGGCGGCGUGCUUAACACAUGCAAGUCGAACGGACAGGCCCUGCUUUUGCGGGGUGCUCGAGAGGCGAACGGGUGAGUAACACGCGUGUAACCUGCCCUUGACUUUGGGAUAACUUUAGGAAACUGGGGCUAAUACCGGAUAGGAGCUACUGAUGCACGGUGGGGGAUGGAAAGUUUCGGCGGUUGGGGAUGGAAUCGCGGCUUAUCAGCUUGUUGGUGGGGUAGUGGCUUACAAAGGUUUUGAAGGGUAGCCGGCCUGAGAGGGUGACCGGCCACAUUGGGCCUGAGAUACGGCCCAGACUCCUACGGGAGGCAGCAGUGGGGAAUAUUGCACAAUGGGCGGAAGCCUGAUGCAGCAACGCCGCGUGCGGGAUGACGGCCUUCGGGUGAUAAACCGCUUUCGCCUGUGACGAAGCGUUAGUGACGGUAAUGAGUAAAGAAGCACCGGCUAACUACGUG
rnacentral:rRNA from 1 species